rnacentral:rRNA from 1 species
UGGGGAAUAUUGGACAAUGGACCGAGAGUCUUGAUCCCAGCAAUUCUGUGUGCACGAUGAAGUUUUUUCGGAAUGUAAAGUGCUUUCAGUUGGGAAGAAAGAAAUGACGGUACCAACAGAAGAAGUGACGGCUAAAUACGUGCCAGCAGCCGCGGUAAUACGUAUGUCACGAGCGUUAUCCGGAUUUAUUGGGCGUAAAGCGCGUCUAGGUGGUUAUAUAAGUCUGAUGUGAAAAUGCAGGGCUCAACUCUGUAUUGCGUUGGAAACUGUAUAACUAGAGUACUGGAGAGGUAAGCGGAACUACAAGUGUAGAGGUGAAAUUCGUAGAUAUUUGUAGGAAUGCCGAUGGGGAAGCCAGCUUACUGGACAGAUACUGACGCUGAAGCGCGAAAGCGUGGGUAGCAAACAGGAUUAGAUACCCUGGUAGUCCACGCUGUAAACGAUGAUUACUUAGGUGUUGGGGGUCGAACCUCAGCGCCCAAGCAAACGCGAUAAGUAAUCCGCCUGGGGNCNUNNNUNANCAAGUAUG